GCUAUUUAAAUAUAAUUUUAAAAAUAGAUAUACUUAACACGCAAAUAAAUAAAAAAAUUGAAAAGCAUCAAAUUUGGUGCCGACAUGGUGCACUAAAAAGUUAUUAUUUUCUGGGUAAAUUAUAGCAAUAGUCACUUUUAUUUACCUCAUAUUAUAUUUUAGUUAUUUAUGUUUAAAAUAUUACAUUUUAGUCACUUACAUUAUCAUUUUGUUAUUAAGUGAUCACUCCACCGUUAAACUUCGUUACUUCUCUAACGGUAGUCCUAUGUGACAGUACAAAUUGAUUUUAAAUGCCAACUGGCAACUAUGAUGUCCAAUUGUUGGGACAAAAAUAGGUUUUUAAUUAAAUAAAUUUAAUUUGGACUGCCACGUAGGACCGUCAUUAGGAAGGUAAGAGAGCUUAAUGAUAAAGUGACCAAUUCGUAAUAAAACGAUAAUAUAAGUGACUAAAACGUAAUAUUUUAAACUUAGGUGAAUAAAAUAUAAUCUGAAGCAAAUAAAAGUGACUGGUUUAUAGUUUAUCCAUAAUGUAAUUAUUGGCGGAUGAUCUGGCCGCACCGACAAACAGUACAAAUUGAGUCAUUUUCGUAAUUAUUCACAAAAUUUGGGUUACUUUAAUAAAAACCCGAGAAGAGAACCUCGCCUUUGCUUAAGAUAGACGGGCACUUUCUGACCUUCCCUUCUGUUGGUUUUUCAUCAGCAAGUUUGCCUCUGAUGGGUUGUCGAAUCCACCAAUGUAAACCUACGCCUAACUUGCAAAUUAAGCAGUAUAGGGAGUAGGGUCGAUCCCUCAGAGACUGGGUUUACUGCAAAUUGUUCCUCUCUUGACCAGAUUUUUGUCAGGGCAGUUGUCGUGCCCAAGAAAUUCAGAGGGAUAAAAUCUGAAACCUGAAAUAAAUAAAUAAAAAGCGUAAAAAGUAAAAGUUGAAGACAGAAUAAUAAAAACAGUGAAAUAAAUAUGAAGAAAAAUUAAUUAGAAUAAGCUCAGCUUUAGGCACGAAUUUUCCUCGUCUUUGAACCGAUCCUCGAAAUUGGAUGAACUCCUCUUUUCCAAUAACUAGUUAUAGCUACCAAGGACGCCUCGGGCACCAACUCUUCCUUGUGUAAAUUAGUUAUGGAACAUCCAAUAACUAACCUUUACCAAUCGAACAACCACGAAACAUUCGUGAUUUAGAACUCCGACAGCUUUGCGUUCUAGAAGAGCCUAGCUCGAACCAAUGCCCUCAACCGCGUGGGACAUUUAAAUCCGGUUACUACUUCCCUUGACGGAACCAAAUAGCAAUCUCCACGGGCACGCCACUGUGUUCACAGAAAACCAAAUAGAAACGUUCCUUUCGGAAUUCCAACUGUACGUCUAAUCACACUAAAUCAAACGACGUCUUUUUUUGACUUAGUGCUGGUCUGACUUUAUGAGUUGACAAAAUCAUACUCUUAAUCCAGAGAAGUAAUAAGUACUAGAAUUUUAGGAGUUAAAUGGCUCGGGUUCGUAACUCACGGGUUUUGACGAUGCUAAUUUCGGCCUAAAGCUGAAAAUGGUUUUAGUUGGCUAAGGUUUGGGGCACGUUGGUAUUAGAAUAAUUAAAUAAGAUUGAAUAAAUGAAAAAAAAAAAUGAAAGUGAGUGGUGAAGGUUAUGCAAGGUUGGAAAUUAAUUGCUAACAAAAAACAGGAAAGAAAAGAUUGAAUUGCAAGAGAUAAAAGCUUAAUUUAAAAACGAAAUGAUUAAAAACUUGAUGGAAAAUUUUAUGAAAAGACUUGAUGAAAAACUUUAAAAAGAACUUGCUGCAAAACUUGAUAAAAAAACUUGGUAAUUAAAAACUUGAUAAAAGAACUAGAUGAAAAAUACUUGAAGAAUGAAAAACACUUAAUGAAAGACUCAAUUGAAAGCUUGAUUCAUGAAUUGAUGAAUUGAUAAACAAUGUAGCCUCUAUUUAUACUAGUAGCUUUACUAAAUUAGGAGCCAACUAGUAUAGAAAAUCAAGGAAAAUAUUCCAUAAUAUAAAAAAUAUCCCAAAAUAAUCUCCCACUAAGUCAACAAUUUCAGCUAAUUAUUCUUGGAAAAAUUCUACUUUGGCCCUCGUUCUUUGCUUCUUUCNNNNNNNNNNNNNNNNNNNNNNNNNNNNNNNNNNNNNNNNNNNNNNNNNNNNNNNNNNNNNNNNNNNNNNNNNNNNNNNNNNNNNNNNNNNNNNNNNNNNNNNNUUAACCAAUUUAAUUACAUAAAAUAUGUAACUUUAGCAUUUAAUCAAAUCCCCCUACUUAGCUUAUUCUAGUCCUCGAGCAUUUUGUAUGUAUCUGCAAAAGGAAAAAUUUUCUCCAAAAUAGGACUUGGCCCUCAUGGUUUGCACAAUUCAACAAUUUAAUCCUAGCACACUAACAUCUCAAAUAACCUAGCCUAAGAAGUAAGUAAAUAUAUUUCAGAAUUUAUUAGAGCUUGAUAGACUUACCUUUCAUUUUAUUAUUUUUUGUGCUUAGGACAUUUUCGAAUUUUUUGACGCGAGACAUGAUGACAACCCAAGCACCAUGUUCCGGUUACUCAAUUCGGAUGUCUCUAAGCGGGUUAUUUCGCCCUACUCAUGAUAACUUGUUAGCGGAGUGAGUGCAAAGAAAUUGGACAGCUACACGAACCUUUUUACGCGAGAUGUGAUGACAACCCAAGCACCAUAUUCCGGUUACUUAGUCCAGUGUACAACCUCAAUUUUCACUCUUAACAUUCGUAUCAGAGGAGUAUUAUUAUUCAUUUUUUCUUUUUUUUCUUUUCUUUUUUUUUUUGAAAGAUAAAAUAGGUAGUCAAGCAAACUCAUAAUUCCCAAAAAUUUCUUACCCACUAAGUCUAGGUUAUUGAAAAGUUGUAUGUGUAAAGAACUAGAUAGCUAAAUAGGUCAAACCAUAAGUGUACCAUCCCAAUUUAUCAAAAGAAAAAUUUUACCUUUCACGAAAAACAUGCAAAAAUAGCGACAACAGAUAAGUAAAUUAGAACCAAUUUAUAUUUCCAUCCCCCCUACUUAUUUUACAUUGUCCCAAUGUAAUUCAAAGAAUAAAAGUAAAGAUAAGUAGGAGAAAGAGAGAAAAAGAAACUCUCCAUGUAUUUCAACGUCGUGGAGGGUGGUCUCGUAGGUAGAGUGGGCCUUGGCUGAAAUAAAAAGAAUUUUGUGGGUUGACAUGUGGAAUUUAAUUUUGUCUUGGAAUGUUUUCCUGUAAAAAUAAAAAUGAAAAUAAAAUAAAAUAGAAAAAAUAAAUAAUAAUAAUAAUAAUAGGAAAAUUUUAAAAAAUUCAAAUUUAUUAGCUAAGCUAUAAACUCGAAAAAUAAAUUAUUAAAAACCAAGAUUACGAGAUUUGGUAAAACAGUCGUGAUAAAUGCACCAAGUAAGUUCCCAGGAAAGAGAGGUGAGCCACAAUGGACAUACUUAAGUACCAAGUCUUUCCCUAGACAGAACUAAUCCUUGACAUGCAUUUUCAUUUUCUAUUUUACCAAAAAUUUUAUUUGCAUAAAGGAAAAGAAAAUUUGGGUUGCCUCCCAACAGCACUUUGUUUAACGUCGUUUAGCUCGACGACCUGUGUUAUUCAAAUUCUUUAUCUUUUUGUAAUAGACUGCAAAGCGGUUGCAUGAUCUUCGAGAAGUCUUUUAUGAAUUGUCUGUAAAAUCCGUACACCGUGAAAUCAUUCAUGAAGACUUCAAUGAUUUUCUCAACAUAAUCGGAAAAUAUGCUCACCAUGCAUUUCUGGAAAGUGGUCGGAGCAUUACAGAGUCCAAACGACAUUCGUCUAUACGUAAACAUUCUGGAAGGGCACGUGAAAGUUGUUUUGUCUUGAUCCUCUGCCUCCCUCAAUGUUUCGAGGAUUUCUUUUUCCUCUUUCGCUUUCUUAUCCUUUGCGAGCCUCUCUGGAAAAAGAGGUGGCAUCAAGAAUGGUUUCUGAAUUUCUGAUUCCGGUCUGACUUUUGGAUCAGAGAUCUGCUUUUCCCGUUCAUUGCCUUACCCAUAACUUUUGUCUGGAACUGUUUCCAGAAUCUUUGCGCUACAAAGAGUUAUUGCACUUACAUUCUGCCUAGGAUUCAGCUCUGUUUGGGAAGGUAAUUUACCUUGAGAUUCCAAACGAUUAACUGCCAUCGAGAGUUUACUAACUUGAUUAGUUAACUCUUAUAUUGAUGCGUCUGUCCUCUUUUGAUAUUUUGCAGCAUUGAAAGCAAGUCUUUCCACAAGAGCGUCUAGAGAUGUGCUUGACUUGGGUUGUUAUUGUGGUGGUUACAAAUGUCUCGGUUGGUAUGAUGGAUUAUAUCGGGGAUUAGCUCCGUAAUUCAAGUUGGGAUGAUCCUUCCACCCGGGAUUGUAAGUGUUGAAGAAAGGAUCAUAACGUCUUUGUGGAGGUUCUGAAAAACCUCCGAUAGCAUCAACAUGUGCCUUUGAAUUUUCGUUAAGGAUUGGGCACAAAUCUGUCGAAUGUUCAGAUAUAGUACAAAUUCCACACGGUUGGGUCCGAUUCUUCUUUUCUGUAAGCAUAGAUUGAACAAUAUUAGUAAGCUUAUCCAAUUUAUCUUCUAAGGAUGAAACGUUUACCCAAUUAACCCGUCUUGUGGGUUCUGAAUCCGGCCGAUACUGUUGAGAAUUUGUCGCCAUGGUGGAUAUUAGUUCUCUUGCCCUUUGAGGAGUCAUAUUGACAAGCGCCCCUCCACUAACAGCGUCAAUCAUCUUCAUUUCCAUAGGGAGCAAACCCUCGUAGAAAUAUUGAAAAAGUGAUUGCACGGUCAAACUGUGUUGAGGACAACUUGCACACAGUUUUUUAUACCGCUCCCAAUAGUCGUAGAGCGAUUUACUCUCCAUUUGGCGAAUUCCCACUAUGUCUCUCCUUAGUUCAGCUACUUGCGAUGUUGGGAAAAAUCUGUCAAGAAAAACACGAGAUAAGUCAUCCCACGUUGUAAUAGAACCAGGGGGUAAGUAAAAUAACCAUUCUUUUGCUGUAUCAACUAAAGAAAAAAGAAAGGCCCGAAGUUUAAUUUUAUCUUCGGUUACUCCCUGUGGUUUCAAGCUUGAGCAGACCAUGUGGAAUUCUCUCAAGUGAGUGUGUGGAUUUUCAUUCUUCAAGCCUUGAAAAGUGAGCAAAAGGUGAAUUAGGACUGACUUUAACUCGAACGAGGUUUUUCCGACUGGAUAGUUGAUGCAUAACGGUGUUUGCUCGUUGGGAGCAGUGGCUAGUUGACGAAUGGUUCGGUUCACCAUCCUUUCUAGUUCACCGAGGUUGUCUUCUGCUUCUUUUAUUUUAGGAAGUGAUUUGGUCUCAGGUUCAACCACUUCAACUUUUUUUCCACGUUGAAUUGCUUCUACACGUUUAAGAACUUCUGUCUCUUUACGUCGUGCUCGUGCUGAUUUUUUGAUCUCUGGGUCGUAUUCGAGAUCUCCGGAGGAAGAUCUGGUCAUGAAAAUAAUCUAAACAAUUGUAAGUGUUGCCAGUCCCCGGCAACGGUGCCAAAACUGAUGGGUUGUCGAAUCCACCAAUAUAAACCUACGCCUAACUUACAAAUUAAACAGUAUAGGGAGUAGGGUCUAUCCCUCAGAGACUGGGUUUACUGCAAAUUAUUCCUCUCUUGACCAGAUUUUUGUCGGGGCAGUUGUCGUGCCCAAGAAAUUCGGGGGGAUAAAAUUUGAAACCUGAAAUAAAUAAAUAAAAGCGUAAAAAGUAAAAGUUGAAGAUAG
rnacentral:lncRNA from 1 species